rnacentral:rRNA from 1 species
AUGGCGGCCGCGGGGUGGUUUCUAGCCGCCGGAGCCAUCGUCACGGCCACCCUGCUGUCAGGCUGCGCCCUGGCGGCGCCCGCGGCUGGCACGCCCACGCCGCCGUCGUCCUCCUCGCUGGACUGUGACACGGUGACGUCGCUGCUGACGGGCUGCGCGACUUUCGUCACGCGCGGCCAGAGCGUGGCGCCCCUGCCGGCCCCGGGCACGCCGUGCUGCGAGGGGGUGGACGGCCUGUACGCCGUAGCGGCGGACUCGCCGGACAACUGGCGCUCCGUGUGCCGCUGCAUGGCUGGGCUCGUCCGGCGGUACUGGUCCAACGCGUCCGCCAUCGCGCUGCUGCCGGGGCUCUGCGGCGUCUCGCCGGUGGCCACCGCUCACGCGGUCACCUACUGCAACAGCAUCCCUUGA